rnacentral:rRNA from 1 species
AAAUAGAACUUUGCAGAGAGAGUUAACAGGGCGUGAAACCGUUAAUUGGCAAACGAAUCGGAGCCACGAAGUCGUUUCGCUGUUGGUGGGGGUUCAGUUGGGUUAGAGAUAACCCGGCGUAUUCCUCCGGCCAACCUUGUAAGCGUACACUGCAACCAGUUAGACGAUUGGUGAUGGGCCCAGUUCCGGGUUAGUAGUAGCGUGUGUGUGCUUCGGCUCACUCGUGUUGCUGGACCUGUGGCAGGUGAACUAUACACCAAAGACUGACUGGCAAAAUGAAAAUCGCGCUUGCGCGUCUAGUGAAAGCGGUGCCUGUACCGGGUGCUACAUGCCGGACCAUGUAGUUAUAGUUCGGCAUCUUUGAAUUUGGACUUGCUUGCUACCAGUGGGGCAACUCCUGGUGCUUGUAUAGCUUCCAUCUAAUCGGGUGUUGACUUGGCUGCAUGUCGUUUCUGUAUGAAUUGAUUGGCGCCCAGUACAAGGUAAUUCGCCAACUUAUUGGCAGUGAGUAGGUCGGCUUUCCGAACGACCCGUCUUGAAACACGGA